rnacentral:rRNA from 1 species
UACGGAGGGUGCGAGCGUUGUUCGGAAUCACUGGGCGUAAAGGGCGUGUAGGCGGUCCGCUAAGUCUGAUGUGAAAGCCCGGGGCUCACCCCCGGAAGGGCAUUGGAAACUGACGGACUCGAGUCCCGAAGAGGAGGGUAACGGAAUUCACGGUGUAGCAGUGAAAUGCGUAGAUAUCGUGAGGAACACCAGAGGCGAAGGCGGUUACCUGGACAGUUACUGACGCUCAGGCACGAAAGCAUGGGGAGCAAAAGGG